rnacentral:rRNA from 1 species
AUGAACGCUUGGCAGACACGUGUUGAUGAUUACUCCCUCAUUCAGUGCGGCAUGCUUUACAGCUUAGAACCGGGGCUCCAAAAGCGUUUUGAGCAACACGGAGCCUAUGAGAUGUUCGAAGAGCUGAAAAUGGUUUUCCAAGCUCAUGCCCGGGUCGAGAGAUAUGAAGUCUCCGACAAGUUCUUCAGCUGUAAGAUGGAGGAAAAUAGUUCUGUCAGUGAGCACAUACUCACUAUGUCUGGAUUACAUAACCGCUUAACUCAGCUGGGAGUUAAUCUCCCGGAUGACGCGGUCAUUGACAGAAUCCUUCAGUCGCUUCCACCGAGCUACAAGAGUUUUGUGAUGAACUUCAAUAUGCAGGGGAUGGAAAAGACCAUUCCUGAAGUAUUUGCAAUGCUGAAAUCAGCAGAGGUAGAAGUCAAAAAGGAACAUCAAGUGUUGAUGGUGAAUAAAACCACUAAGUUCAAGAAAGGCAAGGGUAAGAAGAACUUCAAGAAGGACGGCAAGGGAGUUGCCGCGCCUGGUAAGCAAGCUGCCGGGAAGAAGCCAAAGAAUGGACCCAAGCCCGAGACUGAGUGUUUUUAUUGCAAGGGAAGUGGUCACUGGAAGCGGAACUGCCCCAAAUACUUAGCGGACAAGAAGGCCGGCAAAACGAAAGGUAUAUGUGAUAUACAUGUAAUUGAUGUGUACCUUACCAGUACUCGUAGUAGCUCCUGGGUAUUUGAUACCGGUGCAGUUGCUCACAUUUGUAACUCAAAGCAGGAGCUGCGGAAUAAACGGAGACUGGCGAAGGACGAGGUGACGAUGCGCGUCGGGAAUGGUUCCAAGGUCGAUGUGAUCGCCGUCGGCACGCUACCUCUACAUUUACCUACAGGAUUAGUUUUGAACCUCAAUAAUUGUUAUUUAGUGCCAAGUUUGAGCAUGAACAUUUUAUCAGGAUCUCGUUUAAUACGAGAUGGCUACUCAUUUAAAUCCGAUAAUAAUGGUUAUUCUAUUUAUAUGAGAAAUAUGUUUUAUGGUCAUGCUCCGAUGGUGAAUGGUUUAUUCUUAAUGAAUCUCGAGCGUAAUGCUACACAUAUUCAUAGUGUGAAUACCAAAAGAUGUAAGGUUGAUAACGAUAGUCCCACAUACUUGUGGCAUUGCCGCCUUGGUCACAUAGGUGUCAAACGCAUGAAGAAGCUCCAUGCAGAUGGACUUUUAGAGUCUCUUGAUUACGAAUCAUUUGACACGUGCGAACCAUGCCUCAUGGGUAAAAUGACCAAGACUCCGUUCUCAGGAACAAUGGAGCGAGCAACCAACUUAUUGGAAAUCAUACAUACUGAUGUUGCGGUCCAAUGA